GCAUAACGCGAAGAACCUUACCUACUCUUGACAUCUACGGAAGACUGCAGAGAUGCGGUUGUGCCUUCGGGAACCGUAAGACAGGUGCUGCAUGGCUGUCGUCAGCUCGUGUUGUGAAAUGUUGGGUUAAGUCCCGCAACGAGCGCAACCCUUAUCCUUAGUUGCCAGCACGUAAUGGUGGGAACUCUAGGGAGGCUGCCGGUGAUAAACCGGAGGAAGGUGGGGACGACGUCAAGUCAUCAUGGCCCUUACGAGUAGGGCUACACACGUGCUACAAUGGUACGUACAGAGGGAGGCAAGCUGGCGACAGUGAGCGGAUCUCUUAAAGCGUAUCGUAGUCCGGAUCGCAGUCUGCAACUCGACUGCGUGAAGUCGGAAUCGCUAGUAAUCGCAAAUCAGAAUGUUGCGGUGAAUACGUUCCCGGGUCUUGUACACACCG
rnacentral:rRNA from 1 species